AUACGGAGGAUGCAAGCGUUAUCCGGAUUUAUUGGGUUUAAAGGGUGCGUAGGCGGUUUGCUAAGCGGGAGGUGAAAUGCCGGCGCUCAACGUCGGAAGUGCCUCCCGAACUGGUGGACUUGAAUGACUCUGCCGUGGGAGGAAUGUGUAGUGUAGCGGUGAAAUGCUUAGAGAUUACACAGAACACCGAUUGCGAAGGCAUCUCACGAAGGGUUGAUUGACGCUGAGGCACGAAAGCGUGGGGAUCAAACAGGAUUAGAUACCCUGGUAGUCCACGCAGUAAACGAUGAUGACUAACCGUCGGCGUUACACAGUCGGUGGCCAAGCGAAAGCGAUAAGCGCCCCACCUGGGGAGUACGGUCGCAAGGCUGAAACUCAAAUGAAUUGACGGGG
rnacentral:rRNA from 1 species